rnacentral:rRNA from 1 species
AUUGAACGCUGGCGGCAGGCCUAACACAUGCAAGUCGAGCGCGAAAGGUUCUUCGGAGCUGAGUANAGCGGCGGACGGGUGAGUAACACGUGGGCAACCUGCCUGUAAGACUGGGAUAACUCCGGGAAACCGGGGCUAAUACCGGAUAACUCAUGAGACUGCAUAGUCUGAUGAUAAAAGAUGGUUAUGCUAUCACUUACAGAUGGGCCCGCGGCGCAUUAACUAGUUGGUGAGGUAACGGCUCACCAAGGCGACGAUGCGUAGCCGACCUGAGAGGGUGAUCGGCCACACUGGGACUGAGACACGGCCCGGACUCCUACGGGAGGCAGCAGUAGGGAAUCUUCCGCAAUGGACGAAAGUCUGACGGAGCAACGCCGCGUGAGCGAUGAAGCCUUCGGGUCGUAAAGCUCUGUUGUUAGGGAAGAACAAGUAUGAGUUAACUGCUCAUACCGUGGACGGUACCUAACGAGAAAGCCACGGCUAACUACGUGCCAGCAGCCCGCGGUAAUACCUAAGUGGCAAGCGNUGUCCCGAUUUUUUUGGGCGUAAAGCGCGCGCA